rnacentral:tRNA from 1 species
GCCGAAGUGGUGGAAUUGGUAGACACGCCAUCUUGAGGGGGUGGUGGCCAACUGGUCGUGCGAGUUCGAGUCUCGCCUUCGGCACCA